UACGGGGGGGGCAAGCGUUGUUCGGAAUUACUGGGCGUAAAGGGCUCGUAGGCGGCCAACUAAGUCAGACGUGAAAUCCCCCGGCUUAACCUGGGAACUGCGUCUGAUACUGGGAGGCUCGAGUAUGGGAGAGGGAUGUAGAAUUCCAGGUGUAGCGGUGAAAUGCGUAGAUAUCUGGAGGAACACCCGUGGCGAAGGCGGCCAACUGGGAUACACCUGACGCUGAGGCACGAAGGCGUGGGGAGCGAACGGG
rnacentral:rRNA from 1 species